CAGGUACUCCCUCCGUUCAAAAUUACUCGUCUAAGAAAUGGAUGUAUCUAGAUGUAUUUUAGUUGUAGAUACAUCUAUUUUUGUGACAAGUAAUUCCGAACGGAGGGAGUAGGUG
rfam:Triticum aestivum genome assembly, contig: Triticum_aestivum_CS42_TGACv1_scaffold_162057_2DL